CAUGUCUUUUUGUUAAUAAUUUAAAGUCUAAUCUGCUCAAUGAUUAAUUAAAUAGCCGCAGUAUCUUGACUGUGCAAAGGUAGCAUAAUAAUUAGUUUCUUAAUUAGGAACUAGAAUGAAUGAUUGGACAAGAAGAUUUCUGUCUCUUUUUUAUUAUUAUUGAAUUUUAUUUUUAAGUGAAAAAGCUUAAAUUUAUGUAAAAGACGAGAAGACCCUAUAGAGUUUAAUUAAUUUUAAUUUUGUAAUAGUAGAAUAAAUGAAGUUAAUAAUUAAUUUGGUUGGGGUGAUUGGAAGAUUAAUUAAAUUCUUUUAUAUAAAAAUUGUUAGUUAAUAAAUUAAGAUUCUUUUUGUUAAAAGAUUAAAAUAAAUUACCUUAGGGAUAACAGCGUAAUUUUUCUUAUGAGUUCUUAUUUAAGGAAAAGUUUGCGACCUCGAUGUUGGAUUAAAAUUAAUUUUUGGUGCAGUAACUUAAAAAUUAGGUCUGUUCGACCUUUAAAAUUUUACAUGAUCUGAGUUUAGACCGGCGUGAGCCAGGUUAGAUUCUAUCUUUAAAAAAAUAUUAUAUUUUAGUACGAAAGGACCAAGUAUAAAACAAAUUAUUUG
rnacentral:rRNA from 1 species